GCUACCCUUCAGUGCCCAGGUCUGCUAAUAGAGGCCUUCUACUAAUCCUUACUGACAGUCUCACAGCCAUUCCACCUUACCAUCAGCUUCAUUACUCACACUGUUAAAAAGACAAGAACUGUUGCUAUUGGCUACAUCAUUUGUUAUCUAUCAAGGAGGCGAAAACUGUACAGAUAUACUACAUGAGAUUCUUUCCACAAAGUUACACAAACAUCACAUUUAGAGGAACUUGAUGACAGUAUGAAGAAACGGUUGUUUCUAUCUCUGACUUUUACAAGAUAACCUGAAACCAGCAAAGAAUCAGCAUAAUAUAAAAAUGGAUAUCAUGCUCUUAGUAAAGUGAGGAAAGGAAGAAAAAAAAAUUUACAGCAGCUUCAAGGAUUUUAAUAAGACCAGGAAAACAAAUAUAAGUAGAAAACUUUAAUAGAAAAUCUUUAAUAAUAUCUACAGUUUUUCCCAACACAAAAAGGAUAGUCCUCAUAUUCUGAAGCGAUUAUUAAACCUUUCCAAAUCUUACAAGCUGUAGAAAUGCAUUCAGGAAAAAACUAUUCAGAGGUAAAAAAAAAAAAGCUUUUGGAUACAAGAUUAUUUAUAUUUUUGUUAAUGAGUUACUAAAGAAGACAAGGCUAAAAUGCUUGACUUUAAUGAUUAGAUCCCUCCAUUUCACUGUUCCAGCAAUCAAUCAACAGAUGUGAGUGAAACAGCUGAUCUGAGAAGGAUCAGUAUGGAGCAGACAACCAAACAGUUCCACUUAUCCAGAUCCAUUUUGCAUUUUUUACUUCAACAACAGAAAGUUUAGGAAUACAGAAAAAGAAUAUGCAAUAAUUGUGAUGAGACAACUAAUUGGUUUGAACUCGUUAUCACAGCAGUAUCGUUAUCACAGCAAUAAACUCCAAGAAUUGUUGAAUGGGAAUUAUAUCUAGUUCACUUCCCUCUGUAUUGGAAAAAACUAAGUUCAAUUCAAUACAAAAUCCUCUGUGAGUUCAUGCAGUUAUUUAUCAAUAUGUCAGUUGUUUUU